GCACUCCGGGAUAAGCUUGGGAAACUGGGUCUAAUACCGGAUAUGACCUCGGGACGCAUGUCCCUUGGUGGAAAGCUUUUGCGGUGUGGGAUGGGCCCGCGGCCUAUCAGCUUGUUGGUGGGGUGAUGGCCUACCAAGGCGACGACGGGUAGCCGGCCUGAGAGGGUGUCGGGCCACACUGGGACUGAGAUACGGCCCAGACUCCUACGGGAGGCAGCAGUGGGGAAUAUUGCACAAUGGGCGCAAGCCUGAUGCAGCGACGCCGCGUGAGGGAUGACGGCCUUCGGGUUGUAAACCUCUUUCAGUGCCGACGAAGCGUAAGUGACGGUAGGCAUAGAAGAAGCACCGGCCAACUACGUGCCAGCAGCCGCGGUAAUACGUAGGGUGCGAGCGUUGUCCGGAAUUACUGGGCGUAAAGAGCUCGUAGGUGGUUUGUCGCGUUGUUCGUGAAAACUCACAGCUCAACUGUGGGCGUGCGGGCGAUACGGGCAGACUGGAGUACUGCAGGGGAGACUGGAAUUCCUGGUGUAGCGGUGGAAUGCGCAGAUAUCAGGAGGAACACCAGUGGCGAAGGCGGGUCUCUGGGCAGUAACUGACGCUGAGGAGCGAAAGCGUGGGGAGCGAACAGGAUUAGAUACCCUGGUAGUCCACGCCGUAAACGGUGGGUACUAGGUGUGGGUUUCCUU
rnacentral:rRNA from 1 species